UUAUAACAGGAUAUUUUUUCCAAAUCAUAACAGAUCUCUCCUCAAUUGGAAGAACUGCUUGGUAGAUGAUGGAGGAAGCAUUCCUGAAUCCUACUCAAUGACAGCCCAAGGUCCGGCUACCUGCCCAUCUGGAUAACUCCAGCCUCACCUGUGAAAGUUUGGAUCCUCAGCUGUGGUUGCUGCACCUUUCUCUUCUCCAUAAGCUGGGAAGGUAACAGGUGAGCACAUCAAUGGAUUAUGUCUCUGCCCAGGUCUCAGCCAGUCCUGGUGUGUUCUGCUCGUCCACAGAAAAUUGUUCCUCUCUGAAUAUAUCAACAGAAAGAAACCUAGACAUUUACUUGGGUCAGGAUCCUCAAUGAGUG